GUUGUUCCAAUAGGGUCGGAAGCGUGUAAAUUAUUGUACUAAAAAAUCACACAAAGUUCAAUUCCCAGGGAAGAGAGGUGGAUCACAUGGAUCUCUUAAAUACUAAGUCUUUCCUUAGACAGAAUAUCCCUUCUAUAGUAAUUUAAUAGUACAAUUAAAUACUACUAUUAUACCCUCAAAUAUUGAAAGAAAAAUAGGACAAGAAAGAACACAAGAGAUUUAACGAGGUUCGGUAAAUUAUACCUACGUCCUCGGGCACUAACACCAGAUGAUAACUUUACUAUCUCCAAA
rnacentral:lncRNA from 1 species